UAGGGAAUCUUCCGCAAUGGACGAAAGUCUGACGGAGCAACGCCGCGUGAGUGAAGAAGGAUUUCGGUUCGUAAAACUCUGUUGUUAGGGAAGAAAAAAUGUAUAGUAACUAUAUACAAAAGAGACGGUACCUAACCAGAAAGCCACGGCUAACUACGUGCCAGCAGCCGCGGUAAUACGUAGGUGGCAAGCGUUGUCCGGAAUUAUUGGGCGUAAAGCGCGCGCAGGUGGUUUAGAAAGUCUGAUGUGAAAGCCCACGGCUCAACCGUGGGGGGUCAUUGGAAACUAAUAAACUUGGGUGCAGGAGAGAAAGGUGGAAUUCCUAGUGUAGCGGUGAAAUGCGUAGAGAUUAGGAGGAACACCGGUGGCGAAAGCGGCUUUUUGGCCUGCAACUGACACUGAGGCGCGAAAGCGUGGGGAGCAAACAGG
rnacentral:rRNA from 1 species